rnacentral:rRNA from 1 species
AGCAGUAGCCACGGUAAGACGAACCGUGCGAACGUUAUUCGGAAUCACUGGGCUUAAAGCGCGUGUAGGCGGAUGGGAGCGUCGGCCUCUGAAAUCCCCCGGCUCAACCGGGGAAGUGGAGCCGAAACGACCCGUCUGGAGGGACGUAGGGGGACCUGGAACUUCCGGUGGAGCGGUGAAAUGCGUUGAGAUCGGAAGGAACGCCCGUGGCGAAAGCGAGGUCCUGGACGUCUGCUGACGCUGAGACGCGAAAGCCAGGGGAGCGAACGGGAUUAGAUACCCCCGUAGUCCCUGUCUCUUAUU